rnacentral:sRNA from 1 species
UUUUUUAUUAAUUAUUAUAGUUCACCUCUCAUCUUUAUAUGAGUAACCUAUUCGAGUUUGGGUAGAACCCGUUCGGGUUUGGGAUUAAUGGAUAUAUGAUUUACUACCCAAUAGAAUAAUUCUAAAUAUUUGGUUCUGGUUCGGGUCGGGUCCAUUUGGGUUUGGGUCAGUUUGGAUAAAAAGUUUCAGGCCCUAAAUAGAAACGGGUAUUUUGUAUGUAGAUAGCGGGUAUCCAAACAAAAA